UCGAGAAUAUUUCGCAAUGGGCGAAAGCCUGACGAAGCGACGCCGCGUGAAGGAAGAAGGCCCUCGGGUUGUAAACUUCUUUUGCAGGGGAAGAAGCCGCAAGGCUGACAGUACCCUGAGAAUAAGGCGCUGCUAACUUCGUGCCAGCAGCCGCGGUAAUACGAAGGCGCCAAGCGUUAUCCGGAUUUAUUGGGCGUAAAGAGUUCAAAGGGGGUUGUGUUAGUCCAAUGUUAAAGCUCGCAACUCAAUUGCGAAAGUGCAUUGGAAACGGCACAACUUGAGGAAAUUAGAGGCAAGCGGAACGGCCGGUGUAGGGGUGAAAUCCGUUGAUAUCGGCCGGAACACCAAAGGCGAAGGCAGCUUGCUGGAAUUUUCCUGACCCUGAAAGAACGAAAGCGUG
rnacentral:rRNA from 1 species